rnacentral:lncRNA from 1 species
GUCCAGCAGUAAUCGUCAUCGUUCCUGAGGGGCUAGGUGGAGGUCGAAUAGUGAGUUCCAGUAUCUGAGCAAGUCUAUCAUGAAGCAAGUUUGCUUUGGUUUCACAUUGUGCUGCAAUUUCUUCAAAUGGUGCUUUUUGGAACUUCUCAAUCACAAGACGCCUUUUUUCUUUUUCCUGUUCUUCAAGUCCAUUGUUAUCAAUUGCUUUCUUCAAAGCUUCAAAGGUGAUUUCUUCAGUAUUAUCAAUCUUAUCCUCUGUGUUGUUGCCAGGUAGAAUAUCCACCUGAAUAGAUACUGUGUCCACAAUGCUUUUCCUCCUGGAGAGUCUGUCCUCAUCUGUUACCUGGGGUACGUAUGGAACGGACAAUCUUUCCACACUGUAUCCACUGCCGCCUAAUGAUUCUGCAAUCUUGUUUGUCAAGAAAAAUAAAUUUUUUUCGUGCUUCUCCAAUGAUUUUGGGA